CCUCGUGCUGUGCUGCGUCGGCUGGGAGCUAGGUCCGCAGCCUCCGCCGCCCGGAUCUUCCCGCUUUCCCGGAUUUUCAAAGGCCCAAAGUGGCCGCUGCCCUCUCAGUGUCCUGCUCUGGGGGCUCUUCUCCAAGAACUCGCCCACGCAAACUCUCAGCAGCCUCUGAAAAGGAGACUGAGGUGCAGUAAAAGGAAGUGGUUUUCAAAGGACACAUCGGUUAUGAGAGGAUCACCAACCUCCCAUGUCGUCUGCUCCUGACAUCCAAGCAUCACCAUCAUCAUGGCUCAGUGAUCCACCAUCACCUGAGACAGAAGAUCCUCCUUCUGACUGUCAUCGGAAGGCCUACAGUAACCUAACCCUACGUCACAAUGGCCACGUCACUCGCCUCACUUCAUCUCAUCUUGCAAGCAUUUUAUCAUCUCACGUCAUCACAAGAAGAAGGGACACAACAUACAGGAUUAUCUCCCCACCUGAGAGAAGCUUCCAUGGAUUCCUGUAAGGCGGAGAGGUCAUGUGGAUCCAUAAUGUGUCCAGAGGUCCAGGGACAAGCUGGCAAGCAGUGGAGUCCCUUCCAGAAGGAGACAAAGGAAGGCAGAGGAGGAACCAACGAGUCCGGAAAGACUCAGCCCUCUGUACCGGUCCUGAGUGUUGGCCUGUUUCCCCUCCCAUCCUGCCAGCCCUGCAAAGGCCGACACACACCUGCUUGGCUUACUCCUGUGUCCUGAGAGCCCAGCCUAGCAUCUGGCACGUAACUGGUGCAUGGUAACAUGUGGCAAAGGCAGUUGGAUGCUGGCACAGACUCGGCCACCCAGAGCCUGGAGCACCACGCUGCAGCCCACACACGGAGAACUGCACCCACUGCUGUAGAGCAAGGGGGAAGGGGGUGUCCCUCCCAGGAUGUGAGGUGAGAGCAGCCAGGUGCAAAGCUUCAAGGGAAUGAAAAUGCAUGGUGGGCGUGUUCCCCUUUUGGCUCAGUGGUAAUCAACCUGACUAGCAUCCAUGAGGAUACGUGUUUGAUCCCUGGCCUCGCUCUGUGCAUUAAGGAUCUGGCAUUGCUGUGAGCUGUGGUGUAAGUCACAAACACCACUUGGAUCCUGUGUUGCUGCGGCUGUGGUGUAGGCGGGCAGAUGCUGCACCGAUUCACCUCCUAGCCUGAGAACUUCCAUGUGCUGCAGGUGUGGCCCUAAAAAAGCAAACAAAGAAAGUGCAUGGUGGGUCCCUGGGAGUGACUGACAGGAGGGGCCGUGGGAGGGGACACCUAGAAGGUUCCUAGCACCUAAGCCUUUGACAUGGUCCAAAUGAAACGCUCAGUACAAUGCUAGAGAAAAGAACAAAUCCAAUCCUCCCAGGCUAUUCACUUCCUCCCCACCCAAGCCUGCUCUUGGCAACUCCUCACCACAGAGGGACUGGUUUCUGAGAACAGCUUGAGGCAGAAGUCCUCAGGGGUGGUUCUGCUUGAUCAGGAUCCAGACCACCAGGGGGAAGGAGGGCAGAGGCCAUGUUCUAAGUGCUUUAAGUCUUUAAUCUCUACUCACUUGGUCUCUACAAUACCCUGCGUAGUAGAUUCUAUUAUUGCACCAAUUUUACAGAUGGGGAAACCAAGCAACAAGAGGUUAAGAGCUGCCUAGUAUCUCACAGAUAGUACACUGAGCAAUGCAACUGGGGUCUGAAUGCAAGCAAACUGCCUCCAGGGACCUGCCCCACUGCCUUGUCCCCCUGUGAGGCACUUACUGGGAAGACCCACAGUAUAGGUGUUUUACAUGCAGACCUCACCCCAUCUUCCCAUCAGCCCUGAGAUGUGUCACUGAUGGCCCCUAUUUUAGAGCCAGGGACAGCCUCAUUUAGGUGAAAGUUUCACACUUAGGAGAAGGAACCUCCUGACCCAAGUGCAAACGUUGGCUUGAACCUUGUUUCAAGCCUCAGUCGAGAGACCGGUCUGUGGGGAAUAAGCCAGUCCUGAGAACCACGCAGGUUUCCUGCCUCAUUGCCCCAGCUCAGGCCCAGGGAGCCUGGAUUGUCAGAAGAGGCAGUUUAGACAGCUCAGGGUUAAGGUUGGUGGCCAGGAGUUUCCUUCUUUGAGCUGCUAGAGGUAACCUGGGAUGGGUCUGGUCUGGAGACAUUCCUAGAAUCAAAACCCUGCCACUUCUCCCAACCCCUGACUAGCUCGAUGACCUUGGGCAAAUGCUUUAACUUCUGAGUUCCCUUUGUGGCUCAGUGGUUAAUGAACCCAACUAGGAUCCAUGAGGAUGAGAGUUUGAUCCCUGGCCUCGAUCAGUGGAUUAAGGAUCUGGUGUUGCCGUGAGCUGUGAUAUAGGUUGCAGGUGUGGCUUGGUUGUGGUGUAGGCCAGCAGCUGUAGGUCCGAUUCAACCCCUAGCCUAGGAACCUCCAUAUGCCACAGGUGUGGCCCUAAAAAACAAAAACAAAACAAAACAAAAAAAAUUAUAUGAAAUGUGAAAUGGGUACCUAAAGCCCCUAAUCCAUGCCUGGUAUGUAAUCAUGAUGAUAUUAAUAUUAAAAAGAAUAACAGAGGCUCACAGAAGGAAUUGGCCCAAGGUCAUGCCCAGUGCGCCUUCUGCCCAUACUCUUCUUUGUCGAGCCUCUACUUCCAUGGAUGACUCCAGCUCUCUGGUAGUUCCUGUGGGUUAAAACCAGAGUCCAGAGGCCUCUUCGGACCCUCUCCCUGGCAGCCCCGCUCCCAGCCACCUCCAGGGCAGGUGGCUGGCAACUACUUAGUGACAUGUAAGUCUAUGUCUCUCCUCUGGGCCAACUCAAGAACCAGAGGCUAGCACAUUUCCCAUGGCUUCAGAGGAACUCAGUGAAUGUUGUUGAAUGAAUGCGGGCAGGCACCCUCCAAUCAUGUUCCUUCUUCAUCCUCCCUUUCCCUGGAAAAGAUUCUCUAAUCCUGAGAUAACUUCAAAUGCCUCCUCAUGUCAGGCACAUACAAAACCCUCUGCUGCUGGCCCGUGUAGUCCCAUCUGCCUGGCUGACGAACCACCCCCAUCAUAUUCUCCUGUGUCCUUCAUAAUGCUCAUCAUGCACCUGCCUUUGCUUAUUCUGUUCCCUGUGCUGGGGAUGCCCUUCCCUUCCCUCCCAGGCCCCCUUGGCAAAUUUCUAGUCAUCAUUCAAAAUACGUUUUAUUCAUUCCACAAAUAUGUAUUGAAUGCCCACGAUAUGCCAGGUACUGUUCUAGACCUUGAGGCUAUGUCAAGGAGCAAAAUAGAAAUUCCUGGGCAAUGAGGCCUACAGCCUACUGACCACCUGGGAGCAGAAGCUUCUAAGUUGGUUAGAGAUGGGGUGGGGGAGAGUACCCAGAGCUCCAGCAACCCCCUCCUGGAGAACCCUUUUCCCUAAUCCCCCUCCAUUCUCAGAUAGCUGUGGCCUGCUUCCUGGUGACCCCUCUGUACCAGGACACAGACUAUAAGGGUCUAUUUACAUGUCUGUUGGUCAGAAGAGAUGGGAUGAAGAUGGAGGAAUAGAAGGACUGGAGCUCAACUUCUCCUAAAAACAACAAUAUUCACAACUAAAGGCUGAGCAAUCUUCAACCAAAUGGACCAGAAACUUUCAAAAAGAUAUCCUACUCCAGAGGACAAAGAGGAGGCCACAUCAAGUGGUAGGAGGGGCAAUUACAUGAUAUAAACAACCCCAUACCUCCCGGGUGGGAUGCCCCACAGACUGGAAACUAACUGGUUCACAGAGACUCACCUAUAGGAGUGAGAAUUCUGAGCCCCACAUCAAACUCUAACGUGUGGGUAUCUGGCACUGGGAGAAAGAGCCCCUGGAGCAUCUGGCAUUGAAGGCCAGUGGGGCUUGUGCGCAGGAGCUCCACGGGACUGAGGGAAAUGGAGACCCCAUUCUUGAAAGGUGCACACAGACAUUCACAUGCACUGGGUCCCAGGGCAAAGCAAAGUCUCCAUAGGAAUCGGGGUCAAACCUGACUGUAGCUCUUGGAGGACAUCCUGGGAAAACAGGCGUGAAUGUGGCUUGUUGUGAGGGAAGGACAUUGGAAGCAAAGCUCUCGGGAAUAUUCAGCAGCCUGGCUUUCUCUGGAGGUGGCCAUUUUGGGAAAAUCUGGCCCCACACAUCAGUCAGUGCUGAGAAACCCCAGGGCAAACAACAAUCUAGGUGGGAUCACAGCCCCACCCCUCAGUAAACAGGCUACCUAAAGACCCCUUAGGCACACAGCCACCUCUAGUCCCAUCCAGAGACAAAGCCCCACCCACCAGAGGGAUUAGAAUCAACUCCAUGUACCAGUGGGCAGGCAUCAGUCCCUUCCAUCAGGAAGCCUACAGCAAGCCCCCAUACCAACUUCAGCCACAAGGGGAGCAGACACGAGAAGUAAAAAGAUCACCACACCAAAAACCUAUUAAAAUGAAGACAGAGAACUAUAACUCAGAUGAG
rnacentral:lncRNA from 1 species